AAUCAGAGUGCUCAGAGGGUGGCCAGUCUUUUUCUUUUAGAUACUCAAAAGAAUCCAAUCACCAUUUUGGUUAGAGCAGGCUGAAUUUUGUAUGGCAGAAGUGGAAAGGAGCCUGGAGUUCGUUUUGUUAGCGAAAUGGCACAAACUGUUCAAUAUGCUGAUCUCAUACAGAUUCCCCAAGACUACCCCUCGGUUGUGCAACAUUACAUUCUUGUUAGUUGGCAUGUGAGCUGACAGCAGGUGGCAGAUGAUAGCCAUGGAACUUCCAAAGGAUUCAGAGAAGAAAGGUGAUCCAGACUGGGACAAUAGCACUGGAAGAGAGGCGCUUUAAGCUCUAACUCCUGUCAAGUUCUUGAUCAAGAUCAUCCCCCAUCCUGAAGGCUGGGAUUGUAAGCCCUUUUGGCACAGGGCAUCAUCUUCUGUUUUCUUUCCUAUGUAAGUCACCAACUCUUAAAGCAGUAUAUAAAUCAAUAAUAAAAACAGCAG